rnacentral:rRNA from 1 species
CACCGCGGUUAUACGAGAGGCCCAAGUUGAUAGGUAACGGCGUAAAGAGUGGUUAAGGAAAAUAUAAAAAUAAAGCCGAACACCUUCAGAGCUGUUAUACGCUUCCGAAGAAAAGAAGCCCUACCACGAAAGUGGCUUUAAUUCCCCUGACCCCACGAAAGCUGAGGAA